UACGUAGGGUGCGAGCGUUGUCCGGAAUUAUUGGGCGUAAAGAGCUCGUAGGCGGUGUGUCGCGUCGGCCGUGAAAACCUGCAGCUUAACUGUGGGCUUGCGGUCGAUACGGGCAUCACUGGAGCUCGGCAGGGGAGACUGGAAUUCCUGGUGUAGCGGUGAAAUGCGCAGAUAUCAGGAGGAACACCGGUGGCGAAGGCGGCUUCCUGGACCGACACUGACGCUGAGGCGCGAAAGCUAGGGGAGCAAACGGG
rnacentral:rRNA from 1 species